UUAUACUCUAGUAGAGAACUGUGAGUCUUGAGUCUCAAAGUCAUUGUCUCUUACUAGUGCAGAUGUUGCUCCUGGUAUUCAUUUUAUUUUCUCUGCUAAAAGGGAAUGCUGCUGCAGACGUGAUAACACCAUUCUUCACAGAAAAGGAUGUUUUGGAAGGAAAAGAUGUUACACUGAAAUGCAACUACACUGGCACUGUUAAUAAUUUGCAGUGGUACCGUCAGUAUCCCGGAUCCAAACCUGAACAACUAAUAUUUUACUUAGAGACCAUCCCCAAACCAGAGCCCUCUCUCCGUCUGACCGCUGCAGCUGAUAAAGCCAUCAAACAUAUGAAUCUGACGAUCUCUUCUACAGAAGUGAAAGACUCUGCCAUGUACUACUGUGCCCUGGAGCCCACAGUGACAGGAAACACUACUGCACCCUACAAAAACUCAAUGAGAAAUUAUAUUCAAGGCAGAAGAUCAUGA